UGUGUGUGUGGGCUUCCCCUCUGCUCCACCAUCCACUACCCUGGCUACCUUCCUGUAUGGUCCUGUACUAUGCUACGCUAAACUGACAUUUUUGUUCCUGGUUCAGGUUCCUGAGAUAUCUGACUGAUCUAACGAAACACUCAUUUCUCAACUGAACAGAGGACAGUUUUAAAGACGGAUAUAAAGUAUUUGAAAGAAGGAUGUAAAAGACUUGGAAGCGUGGACUGGCCGACCAGAAGCACCAUGACCAGUGUUAACUCCCCCGCCUGCCUCCUGGCUCGUAACCAGUUCUAUAGAAGUAAGGAGCAACUCUAUUUUUAAACCUUGACUUUGUAACUUUGUGUCGUCCAUAAGUAAAUAUUGUACUUGGACGGACAACUGGAUUGGCAUCUGGGUGAUAGUUGAUGUGAAAAAUGACAGCAGGACACGGGUUAACUUCAUGGAGAAGUACUGUCAACCUCUG
rnacentral:lncRNA from 8 species